CUUCUCGCUAACCUCUUCGCCCGGAAGUGGCAACAAGACUGCAACAUCCCCUCACGCCUAGUCUGUAAAGAACUUUGUUUAACCCGGAGGCGGGGCCAGCCAGCUCCGCCCCUCCAGCUGGACGCGGGAGCGAGGUUGAGGUUCAUACCCCUGGGUUCUCUCCAGGCCUGAGGCGGAGAGCCAGCCGCCUGCCUACCUCUGGGCUUUGAACCCCGGGUCUGGUGACUUCGCUUAAAGACCUCGGGCCGAAGGCCCGCCAGGCUCAACCUCGGUUCACAGGACCCCCGACUUGUGUGAGUCGUACACCGCUCUUUACCGUCUCUGGACCUAGGUCAUCUCGGCAGUAAAAUGGGGUGAAAUGACCCGACCUCCCCGGAGGAUGCCGCGCACGAUGUGUGCCUCAAGUUGGCUUCCACUGACCUGAACUGUUAAGAAAGCCCUCCUCAGUGACGCCUUCCCUGAAUCCACAGUGGAGAUUGCCGUUUUCCUGGAACUAAUUCACCCACACUUACCCAUUUCAUCCCUUUCCACCUUUUAUUUCUACCUUUCUGCCCCACUGAUCUCUAGAAUAGGUGCUGGGAGACGUUAGAGUAUUUGAUCUCCCACUCCCCAGUCAUCCCACUUACCGAGCAGUAAUUCUCUGCCUGGCUGCACAUUGCAAUCACUUGGGAAGCCUCUAAAAAUACUGAUGCCAGGGCUCUACCCCAAGCCAGUUAAAAUCUCCAGCGCUGGACCUGGGCAUUGGUACUUUUUGUAAAGCUUUCAGGUCAAGGAAGAGCAAGACUGAAAAUGUUUACCAGAUUUAUAAUCGAGGAGGUCCUGGAUGACCUUGGCAAAAGCAACCCCAAUGGCAUGGGAAUGAAUGUUUACCAAGAUGAUGCCAGUAUAGCUAGUGAGAUGCAGCACCCCAUCCUCAGCCCCCUCGCCUCUGGAAGAGACACCAGACUGCAAAGGGCACCGCGUACAGAAGCUAACGGAACUUGAAUGACAAGACAAAAAGAGCAGAAUCACAUGUCCUAGACAUUCAGUGCCUGGGCCAGUCUCUAUAGUAAACUUGGGCUGAUCUGGAAACGUCUCCACUUAGCUCUGUAAGGAUGGCACCCUUCAGGGUGCUUCAGAGGAAACUUACUGAAUUCAACCCAAGUGUCCUGAAAGAAAUUGAAGAAGUUACUCAAAGAGCUGAACUUUAAAACAAGGAGUAGCUGAGGGUGAGGCAUAUCCUAUCUUGAGUUUCUGAGCACUCUGGUACCAUGGAAUGUCUGUACACUGACCUUCGCCAAAGCCAAGAAAGCCCUGGUAGGAGUCACAGCAGCCAUGGGUGAGCUGAAAGGCUUUUCCUGACUUCCUGGGGUCUCAGGAAUAGCCAGAGGUGAAAAGAUUUGCCUUUUUUACUACAUAAUUGCACAAACCAUGGUAUCUAUUUUCUGAUCCAGAUUUCCAAAGGCUUUUCUGAAAACUACAAGAUAUACCCCUUGUGGACUGUGUGAAAAUAAAUUUAUCUUUAUGUAUUUGAACAGUAGCCAUAGAUGUGCCUCUUCUCUACAGAUUUUUCUGUCACACACAUACACAUAUAAACACACACAUACACACACAGAGUCUGUGUGGUGGGCCAAACAUGCCAAAAAUAAAUACUCUCACUUCUCUAAAUU
ensembl:lncRNA MAGOH-DT MAGOH divergent transcript